ensembl:snRNA Gm25799 predicted gene, 25799
GUGCUCGCUUCGGCAGCACAUAGACUAAAAUUGGAACGAUACAGAGAAGAUUAGCAUGGCUCCUGCGCAAGGAUGACAUGCAAGUUCGUGAAGUGUUCCAUAUUUUU